rnacentral:rRNA from 1 species
CCUACGGGAGGCAGCAGUAGGGAAUAUUGCUCAAUGGGGGAAACCCUGAAGCAGCAACGCCGCGUGGAGGAUGAAGGUUUUCGGAUUGUAAACCCCUUUUGUUAGAGAAGAAAAUGACGGUACCUAACGAAUAAGCACCGGCUAACUCCGUGCCAGCAGCCGUGGUAAUACGGAGGUAGCAAGCGUUACUCGGAAUAACUGGGCGUAAAGGGCGCGUAGGCGGGUUAGCAAGUCAGAUGUGAAAUCCCAUGGCCUAACCCUAGAACUGCAUUUGAAACUGUUAUUCUGGAGUAGGGGAGAGGUAAGUGGAAUUCUUGGUGUAGGGGUAAAAUCCGUAGAUAUCAAGAAGAA